rnacentral:rRNA from 1 species
GAGUGAACGCUGGCGGUAGGCCUAACACAUGCAAGUCGAACGGCAGCACAGUAAGAGCUUGCUCUUACGGGUGGCGAGUGGCGGACGGGUGAGGAAUACAUCGGAAUCUACUUUUUCGUGGGGGAUAACGUAGGGAAACUUACGCUAAUACCGCAUACGACCUACGGGUGAAAGCAGGGGAUCUUCGGACCUUGCGCGAUUGAAUGAGCCGAUGUCGGAUUAGCUAGUUGGCGGGGUAAAGGCCCACCAAGGCGACGAUCCGUAGCUGGUCUGAGGGGAUGAUCAGCCACACUGGAACUGAGACACGGUCCAGACUCCUACGGGAGGCAGCAGUGGGGAAUAUUGGACAAUGGGCGCAAGCCUGAUCCAGCCAUACCGCGUGGGUGAAGAAGGCCUUCGGGUUGUAAAGCCCUUUUGUUGGGAAAGAAAAGCAGCAGGUUAAUACCCCGCUGUUCUGACGGUACCCAAAGAAUAAGCACCGGCUAACUUCGUG